rnacentral:miRNA from 1 species
CAUCUCAAUCUGUGACACUCAGCCCUGGGGGCACUUUCUGGUCUCAUAAUGAAAGUGCUGUCAUAGUUGAGUUCCAUUGACUGAGGCAAG